CCCCAAGUAACAGCCACUCAGCAAAUAGCACCAAAUGAAGACGGAGAAUAACAUAUAGAUUUGCCGUAAGAAAAAAUUGAUCUAAAUCCAUAUAUCAAAUCUGCUGAUCAGAGCUCUAGAGAAAUGCUUCACAAUCCUUAGCAAGCACUUGCAGGAAGUUUGGGCAGAAAGAAGACCUUCCUGAAGCUUAUAUUAAUAAAUCAUCUUGUCAACUGUUUCUCAAUGUGGAAUGUGUUCCUCAAAAAUCUGCUGAGAAAUCAGAUCCCCAGGGAUUUACGUGCACCUUGCGCUGUGAUGAUCAGCAAGAGCCCCGCCUGACUUCAAGCCAAGCAAGAUAUCAGUGCCUCUCCACAUCUGAAGAAUGUUACAUGGUGAUUCAGCCCAUGGCGAUCCCUAAGACAUGUUACUUCCAUUGAAUUAAGACACAAAAAGUUGCCUGAUGGCUCUUCUCACCAUGCUAACUGGAACGCCUGAGAAGAAAAUCAAAUCACCGCAGCCGGCACUCCCUGCUUCCCCAUCCUACUUCCCUGAGAAAACUGAAGCUGUCAGAAGAGAACUUCCACAGAUUCCUACCACCAUAGAUGCUCUCCAGAUGGUUAAAUCCAACUGUACUUGGUGUAACUGCCUGGAGCACAGUGGAUCACUCACUCCUCCUUGAUACACGUGCUUCCCUGCCCUCUCUUAGGUUUCCACCUCCCUCUGACUCUUUCUUAGUCCACACGACUUCUUCAUCUCUUUCCCCAGAUGUCUCCAUGUGUGACUUCUCCAGGCACAGUCCUUUCCCUUUUUCUGCUGCUACUCUCACUUCUGGGGUGACCUGGGCAGCACUUGCCCAACUGCUGUUCUCCCUAUUACGUGUGACAUCAACUCUGUCCUCCCAACUGCUCAAGUCUUAGCUAUCCUUGACUCUUCCCUUUCUCUCACACCCACAUCCAACCCAUCAGGGAUUCUGCCACACUGCCUUUAAAAUGUAUUCAUGACCCAGUUUCUCACAGCUUCCACGUCUGCCCCCAUGGCAGAGCUGCCACACGCUUGCCCACGUCACCACAUCGGGCUUCCUGCUGGACAUCCGGUGUCUGUCCCUGCCACUGCCAUCUAAAAGCCCCUCAACGGCCACAGGAAGCCUUUAAAAGCAGAAGUCAAUCAUCUGUUCAAAACCCUUUCCUGGGUCCUAUUUCUAUUCAGAGUAAAAACCAAAGUGCUUGCAAUGGCCACCAAACCUUGCUAAUACCUGUCCCAGGCCCCUGCAAGGGUCGCUCUGAUCUUGUCUACUACACUGUCCAUCACUCACCCUGCACUACCCCUCCCGGCUUCCCUGUUCUCCCCCAGCUGCAACCCCUAGUCCGAGGGCUUUUGCUCUGGCAGUUCUUUCUGGCAGUAAAAAGAGGCCCUUUUCCCCAGGUAUCCACGUGGUUAAUUUCCGCACUGGCAAGUCAUUGCUCCUAUGUCACUUUCCCAGUGAGGCCAAUUGCAACCACUUAACACCUCAACCUGUCUCCCUUACCCCCACACCCCUGCUUUAUUUGAUUUUUGAUCCUUCUUAUCCUAUUUUUCUUUUUACUGUAACACUCUUAUCAUCCUAAUAUACUACAUAACUCACUUAUUUGAUAUGCUUACUGUUAAUUUUCUGUCUCCCACUGCUACAAUAUAAGCCCCACAUUGGUGGGGGGGUGGGGGGGCUUUAGUUUGUUCAUUGACAAACCCUAAGCACAUGGAACAAUGUCUGAUAUAUAAUGGAAGUGAAUAAAUGUUUGAUAAUAAAUGCUUACACUAAGCA
rnacentral:lncRNA from 1 species